GGGGCUGUAGCUCAGUGGCAGAGCACUUGCCUAGCAUGCGUGUGGCACUGGGUUCAAUCGUCAGCACCA
rnacentral:tRNA from 1 species